AUGGGUCUCAUGUCAAUUGUGAAAUAUCUCGUUUGUUGAAACGAUUCCUAAAAAAAGUCAAAAAAAAGGUUUCCAUUGUACUAAACUAAGUACGCGAAGGAAGAAAACGAGCGGAUCCAGUAAUUACUCAUCCUCAAAACAGUCCUUCCUUUCCUGGAGUAUUGUCUCAACAAAUAAAUAAACAGAUAUAGCCCCAACGGUUGCAACUGGAGGGUUUCGGAGGUUGGCAUCAUUGUGAUUCGGCAGUGGCUGGGUUUCGAUCAUGGUCGUUGGGCUUCCUUGAUUGUCAUAUUUCAACUCACCCCUGGAA
rnacentral:lncRNA from 1 species